AAGUGCCAUUUCUUAAACUCGUUACAUUGUUAUGAUUUUUUUAAUAAUACAUACAAAGAUCAGAGGAGAAAAACACGAUAAGUAUCAUACGCUUCACUCGUAAUCUUCGUACAUAAUGGAAUCUAAUCUAGGAAUCUAGAAAUUAAAUUCUACUCGAAGCAAAAAGAAUUAAACACAAGAAUGUAAACGUAUUUAUAUCGCUAAACGUGUAAAUAUCAAGAUACCCACCACGUGCAAUAAAACAUACCAGCCAUCCAUCACACGUGAAAGCCAUUCGAACCGCAUCGUCUGAAACUUUUAAUAUCGUGCAAGUCUGUUUCUACGCGUUCAUGCGAACUGAUCAUAAGCUAAGAAACCGUUUUACCAUGAUCGACGCUCGGUCUAAAUUGAACGAGCCGGUUAACAAAGCGAAACAAAAACGAAAUUGAAAGAUUACAACUAUUACCGUGGCAAAAAGUUUAAUUACGUAGGCAGAGUCGUAAAAGAUGGCAGCCAGGACGGCCAGGAGUGAAUUAAAUCGUUCGAUACGAACAGCGUGGAACGUUGAACGGUUGAUUAGCGAGUUAAAAAAGAAUUCAACCAGACAAGUGUCACGGAGCCCUAGACGAACCAGAGGAUUAGAGUUCGGUUUCGUUUCGUCCCGUCUCGUUCAACCUAUACACAAAAGUCCCUGAAACGAGAACUGCCUACUUCCGAGUAAUAAAGCCCAAUGCCGUAAUCAUCGUGAUUUAACGACAUCGACCUAAGUGCCGCGGAGCGUCGGUCGUGCGAAUCGUUUUCCCGUCGUGUUUCUUUCUGAAUACGAGCGAUACAUGUACAGAAAAUAAACAAGCAUUAUACGGGCUAGUCCGCAAGAACGCAACCGUUCACGUUGCAACCUUAUCAUUUUCCAUACUGUGUUGCACAGUAUUUUGUCUCUAUAUGUAUAGAUGCACAUAUACGUGCGAAUAAGAAGAAACGUUUAGAAACGUAAUUCGGGGAUUAGUCUUACUGCGUCGGUGGGAAGUAAAAGGCACUGUGUGUACGACUGCAUAAAACUUUAUACAAGUGAUUCAUUAUGGUUUUCCAAGAGAUGCCUUUUUGAUAUUAGGUUCAAUGUAGCGUUGUGAGAAAAUUUAUAAAUAGGUUGUCGUUCCGUUAACUGGUGGUUCGUUUGUACAGAUUAUUGCUAUUUUUCGAAUUAAUAUUUCACGAUAUACAGAAUGCUUGCUGUAACUGGGUCAAACUUUUGUUUUCAGAUGUUACGAGAUAGAAAAAAAUUGUAUUAAGUAACAUUAAAUUGUUUCAAAUAUUCGAUACACUAACUGGUGAACGUAUCCGCUCCGGAAAUGGAGGCGUUUUGAAGAUUACUCCUACUUCUUUAAAUCGAACUAUAUAUUCUUUGAUGCAAACUACUUGCGACGUAUACAAAUGAAAACGUAUUGAAACUGAAGCAAGUAACAGACGUUUUGCACUGAUAAUCAGAAACUAUUAUAUGCAGCAACGUACGGUAACUCGGUUACGUUGAUUUGUAAUUAACUUAUCUUUAACGAUGAUAUGGAUUACUCAUAAUAUAUGUACACAAGAUAUAAAAAUUAUUUAAAAGCUUAACGAGCAGUAAAUUCGCGUUGUCAGCACAACCGAGUCGUCACGUACGCUAGCGUAUAGAAAUUUCAAUCAACCACGUGUCCAUUUCAUAAACUGCUAAAACUUCAAAGAGUCAGAAAUAUUUUACACUACUCGUCAGAGAAUAACUAUGUUGACGAAUUACCAUGUAAUAUACGCUAUAACGUACGAAAGUCUAAUUAUUUACACGUGUUGUUGUUACCAUGUUAAUCAAAUACCACAAUGCGAGCUAUUGAAACAUGGAAAGAUAAUGAGAAACGUUUAAAGAUACGAUAAGUAAUAGACUUGCUACCCUGACGCACAGCAACUAUUGUAUACGCUAAUGUAGAAGAACUCGGUCAUUCAUACUCAGGGAUCGUUAUCAUGCUAGCGCGUCAGUGCUUCACAAUACGAUCCGAUGAGGCGUGUGCAGACAAAGAGGAACGUUUAAAAACACGACAAAAUGCACUGUAUCGUGUUCACCGAUAGAAUUAUUCAUGCUGGGUUGUUACGUUGAAACGAACGUUUCUUCUAAUUGCUAUAAAUUAUUCGACGUAACGAAGCUUCGUGAUUUCAACGGUGAUCUUUGGUGCUUUAAUAAUACAUCGAUAAAAUAAAUAAUUCAGCUGGAUUCUCAUCGCAGAAGACGAAGAAAUAAAAUUGAGAAACGUUUCGAGGAAGUUGAAAGGCAUAAAAUCCCGUUUCCGCUGAAAUUAUACUUCUUUCGUGUAUUGUUCCACUUCCUGGCGAAUUACCAUGUCGUUUAUUAACAAACUUGGCCACCGUAGUUUAAGGAUUCUUGGUAGAAUCUCGAGGGCAGAAUAAAAACAUAUGUUGCGAUGAACUCGAAGAAGAUGAUCGUCGAUACCGUGAUAAAUAAUUCAACAACCGCGCAGGAUUUCCAUCGAAGAAAUUUAGAAUCAUUUCGACGAAGCUAAGGACCGUAAAGUUUUACAGAAAUCAUAAUUCCUUUCCACGUUUACGCGAAAAAAAAAUAACUAAGUGUAUCGUAACGAGAACUUUUGUUGAAAAAACAGAUCUUAAGAAAUUUUGAAAGUUAAAAUGUGUAUAUCCAAUUCCAAUUCCAAUUUUACUGAAGAGCUUCAGGAUUUUUAAUUAUAUAGCACUUCCGUCUAAAUUAUCUAUUCUUGAAAAUUAUAUUAAAUUGAUUACUCGUAAAUGAUAUUAUUGUAACAUACUACAACUCUGAAGCAGCAGAAUAAAAUGAUUUCACCGGAAGAAGAUGAAAACAAUUUUAAAGAAUACAGUAUAACAAGCCAAUCUGAGAAAAACAAAAAUCAUCAUUCUAUGUAAAUAGCAUAGUGCUUGCCAAUAAAUUUCUCUUCUGAGUAUAAUAUUCGAGACUAUAAAUUAUCACGGUCUCCAUUAGGAAAACGAGAAGUCAUUCCGAAGAAAUUCGGAAACGGUAAAUCCUGCGAUCACUGAGGCAUCUUCUAGAAAGCCGAUUAUCUUGGGAAUAACUGAGAAUAUUUCAUUUACUCAUUCUCACAUGUCAAUUGUUCUUAUCUCAAAUGAGUAACCAAUUAAAGAUUUCGAAAGAUACACCUCCAAUAAAAAAAAAACGAAUUUAUUUAUCAAAUGGCUCAUAUUAAGACAAUGAUUAAGAAUAACGAAAUUGCGUUUGAUGUUUUAUUUUUGAGAAAAUCCGCUUCCGAAACUUGUAUACACAUAUUUGACUAAUUUCCGACUGAACGAAUAUAUCUUUCUUAUAACCUUUUAAUAAAGCAUUUGUAUUCCCUUAUUCUUGCACAUAAAAUAUGCUGUACAGUUGUCUAGAAAGAAAGCCUGAAAUAUUCUGUAUAUGUAUUUCUUGGCAAAGAUCGAAACUGCACGUAA
rnacentral:lncRNA from 1 species